GUAGAUGUUGGGUUGUGACCACAGAUUGUGAUUCUGGUCGUCGUGGGUUCGAGUCCCAUCAGCCACCCCA
rnacentral:tRNA from 4 species